AAGCAUAUCAAUAAGCGGAGGAAAAGAAACCAACAGGGAUUGCCCUAGUAACGGCGAGUGAAGCGGCAACAGCUCAAAUUUGAAAUCUGGCGUCUUUGGCGUCCGAGUUGUAAUUUGCAGAGGGCGCUUUGGCAUUGGCAGCGGUCCAAGUUCCUUGGAACAGGACGUCACAGAGGGUGAGAAUCCCGUACGUGGUCGCUAGCCUUUACCGUGUAAAGCCCCUUCGACGAGUCGAGUUGUUUGGGAAUGCAGCUCUAAAUGGGAGGUAAAUUUCUUCUAAAGCUAAAUACUGGCCAGAGACCGAUAGCGCACAAGUAGAGUGAUCGAAAGAUGAAAAGCACUUUGGAAAGAGAGUUAAAAAGCACGUGAAAUUGUUGAAAGGGAAGCGCUUGCAGCCAGACUUGCCUGUAGUUGCUCAUCCGGGUUUCUACCCGGUGCACUCUUCUAUAGGCAGGCCAGCAUCAGUUUGGGCGGUUGGAUAAAGGUCUCUGUCAUGUACCUCCUUUCGGGGAGAACUUAUAGGGGAGACGACAUGCAACCAGCCUGGACUGAGGUCCGCGCAUCUGCUAGGAUGCUGGCGUAAUGGCUGUAAGCGGCCCGUCUUGAAACACGGACCAAGGAGUCUAACAUCUAUGCGAGUGUUUGGGUGUCAAGCCCGAGCGCGUAAUGAAAGUGAACGGAGGUGGGAACCUUUCGGGGUGCACCAUCGACCGAUCCUGAUGUCUUCGGAUGGAUUUGAGUAAGAGCAUAGCUGUUGGGACCCGAAAGAUGGUGAACUAUGCUUGAAUAGGGUGAAGCCAGAGGAAACUCUGGUGGAGGCUCGCAGCGGUUCUGACGUGCAAAUCGAUCGUCAAAUUUGGGCAUAGGGGCGAAAGACUAAUCGACUAUCUAGUAGCUGGU
rnacentral:rRNA from 1 species